UAAGUAUCACAUACCAAUGUUAAUGCACUGGAUCCCAUCAGAACUCCGUAGUUAAGAGCGUUUGGGCUAGAGUAGUACUGGGAUGGGUGACCUCUCGAGAAUUCCUAGUGUUUCACUCUC
rnacentral:rRNA from 1 species